UACGGGGGGAGCAAGCGUUGUUCGGAUUUACUGGGCGUAAAGGGCGCGUAGGCGGCCACCGCAAGUCGGUUGUGAAAUCUCUGGCUUAACCCAGAAAGGUCAACCGAUACUGCGGGGCUAGAGUGCAGAAGGGGCAACUGGAAUUCUCGGUGUAGCGGUGAAAUGCGUAGAUAUCGAGAGGAACACCUGCGGCGAAGGCGGGUUGCUGGGCUGACACUGACGCUGAUGCGCGAAGGCGUGGGGAGCGAACGGG
rnacentral:rRNA from 1 species